GGAAGGUUCUUAGGUCGGUAGGUCCUCAGGACGGAAAGACCUCAGGACGGAAGGUUCUUAGGUCGGUAGGUCCUCAGGACGGAAAGACCUCAGGUCGGAAGGUCCGCAAGACGGAAAGACCUCAAGUCGGAAGGUCUUCAGGUCGGGAGGUCCGCAAGACGGAAAGACCUCAAGUCGGAAGGUCUUCAGGUCGGGAGGUCCGCAAGAUGGAAAGACCUCAAGUCGGAAGGUCUUCAGGUCGGGAGGUCCGCAAGAUGGAAAGACCUCAAGUCGGAAGGUCUUCAGGUCGGGAGGUCCGCAAGACGGAAAGACCUCAAGUCGGAAGGUCUUCAGGUCGGGAGGUCCGCAAGACGGAAAGACCUCAAGUCGGAAGGUCUUCAGGUCGGGAGGUCCGCAAGAUGGAAAGACCUCAAGUCGGAAGGUCUUCAGGUCGGGAGGUCCGCAAGAUGGAAAGACCUCAAGUCGGAAGGUCUUCAGGUCGGGAGGUCCGCAAGACGGAAAGACGAUGAGUCGGAAGGUUUUCAAGUCGGGAGGUCCUCGAGACGGAAAGUCGUCGAGAUGGGAUAUCCGCAGGUCGGGUAAACUGUAGGUCGGAUAGAAGGAGGAGUCGGACAAACGCGGAGGCCUUUGAUCAAAGACAGGGGGCGGUUGAUAUGGAGGUCGGCCCAAGUGGGGUCGGGCGAAGAAGUAGGUCGGACGAAGGACGAAGUCGGGCCAAAAGAGCGGAAGGUCUGUGGUCGGCUCAAGGAGUGAAAUAUAGGGAAUUUUGGUCUGCUGGGGACACGUGUCAGCAUGAGAAAGGUUGGAAGACGGUUGAGAAGGAGACGUUGUAACCGUUCGGGUGACGGUUUUCAGUACGGUUUCCCAGGGAAUAUUUAAGGAUUUGGAUCAUCAUUUG